rnacentral:rRNA from 1 species
GGGUUGUGAGGUUAAGCGACUAAGCGUACACGGUGGAUGCCCUGGCAGUCAGAGGCGAUGAAGGACGUGCUAAUCUGCGAUAAGCGUCGGUGAGGUGAUAUGAACCGUUAUAACCGGCGAUUUCCGAAUGGGGAAACCCAGUGUGUUUCGACACACUAUCAUUAACUGAAUCCAUAGGUUAAUGAGGCGAACCGGGGGAACUGAAACAUCUAAGUACCCCGAGGAAAAGAAAUCAACCGAGAUUCCCCCAGUAGCGGCGAGCGAACGGGGAGGAGCCCAGAGCCUGAAUCAGUGUGUGUGUUAGUGGAAGCGUCUGGAAAGGCGCGCGAUACAGGGUGACAGCCCCGUACACAAAAAUGCACAUAUUGUGAGCUCGAUGAGUAGGGCGGGACACGUGGUAUCCUGUCUGAAUAUGGGGGGACCAUCCUCCAAGGCUAAAUACUCCUGACUGACCGAUAGUGAACCAGUACCGUGAGGGAAAGGCGAAAAGAACCCCGGCGAGGGGAGUGAAAAAGAACCUGAAACCGUGUACGUACAAGCAGUGGGAGCCUCUUUAUGGGGUGACUGCGUACCUUUUGUAUAAUGGGUCAGCGACUUAUAUUCUGUAGCAAGGUUAACCGAAUAGGGGAGCCGAAGGGAAACCGAGUCUUAACUGGGCGUUAAGUUGCAGGGUAUAGACCCGAAACCCGGUGAUCUAGCCAUGGGCAGGUUGAAGGUUGGGUAACACUAACUGGAGGACCGAACCGACUAAUGUUGAAAAAUUAGCGGAUGACUUGUGGCUGGGGGUGAAAGGCCAAUCAAACCGGGAGAUAGCUGGUUCUCCCCGAAAGCUAUUUAGGUAGCGCCUCGUGAAUUCAUCUCCGGGGGUAGAGCACUGUUUCGGCAAGGGGGUCAUCCCGACUUACCAACCCGAUGCAAACUGCGAAUACCGGAGAAUGUUAUCACGGGAGACACACGGCGGGUGCUAACGUCCGUCGUGAAGAGGGAAACAACCCAGACCGCCAGCUAAGGUCCCAAAGUCAUGGUUAAGUGGGAAACGAUGUGGGAAGGCCCAGACAGCCAGGAUGUUGGCUUAGAAGCAGCCAUCAUUUAAAGAAAGCGUAAUAGCUCACUGGUCGAGUCGGCCUGCGCGGAAGAUGUAACGGGGCUAAACCAUGCACCGAAGCUGCGGCAGCGACACUAUGUGUUGUUGGGUAGGGGAGCGUUCUGUAAGCCUGUGAAGGUGGCCUGUGAGGGUUGCUGGAGGUAUCAGAAGUGCGAAUGCUGACAUAAGUAACGAUAAAGCGGGUGAAAAGCCCGCUCGCCGGAAGACCAAGGGUUCCUGUCCAACGUUAAUCGGGGCAGGGUGAGUCGACCCCUAAGGCGAGGCCGAAAGGCGUAGUCGAUGGGAAACAGGUUAAUAUUCCUGUACUUGGUGUUACUGCGAAGGGGGGACGGAGAAGGCUAUGUUGGCCGGGCGACGGUUGUCCCGGUUUAAGCGUGUAGGCUGGUUUUCCAGGCAAAUCCGGAAAACCAAGGCUGAGGCGUGAUGACGAGGCACUACGGUGCUGAAGCGACAAAUGCCCUGCUUCCAGGAAAAGCCUCUAAGCAUCAGGUAACAUCAAAUCGUACCCCAAACCGACACAGGUGGUCAGGUAGAGAAUACCAAGGCGCUUGAGAGAACUCGGGUGAAGGAACUAGGCAAAAUGGUGCCGUAACUUCGGGAGAAGGCACGCUGAUAUGUAGGUGAAGCGACUUGCUCGUGGAGCUGAAAUCAGUCGAAGAUACCAGCUGGCUGCAACUGUUUAUUAAAAACACAGCACUGUGCAAACACGAAAGUGGACGUAUACGGUGUGACGCCUGCCCGGUGCCGGAAGGUUAAUUGAUGGGGUUAGCGGCAACGCGAAGCUCUUGAUCGAAGCCCCGGUAAACGGCGGCCGUAACUAUAACGGUCCUAAGGUAGCGAAAUUCCUUGUCGGGUAAGUUCCGACCUGCACGAAUGGCGUAAUGAUGGCCAGGCUGUCUCCACCCGAGACUCAGUGAAAUUGAACUCGCUGUGAAGAUGCAGUGUACCCGCGGCAAGACGGAAAGACCCCGUGAACCUUUACUAUAGCUUGACACUGAACAUUGAGCCUUGAUGUGUAGGAUAGGUGGGAGGCUUUGAAGUGUGGACGCCAGUCUGCAUGGAGCCGACCUUGAAAUACCACCCUUUAAUGUUUGAUGUUCUAACGUUGGCCCGUAAUCCGGGUUGCGGACAGUGUCUGGUGGGUAGUUUGACUGGGGCGGUCUCCUCCUAAAGAGUAACGGAGGAGCACGAAGGUUGGCUAAUCCUGGUCGGACAUCAGGAGGUUAGUGCAAUGGCAUAAGCCAGCUUGACUGCGAGCGUGACGGCGCGAGCAGGUGCGAAAGCAGGUCAUAGUGAUCCGGUGGUUCUGAAUGGAAGGGCCAUCGCUCAACGGAUAAAAGGUACUCCGGGGAUAACAGGCUGAUACCGCCCAAGAGUUCAUAUCGACGGCGGUGUUUGGCACCUCGAUGUCGGCUCAUCACAUCCUGGGGCUGAAGUAGGUCCCAAGGGUAUGGCUGUUCGCCAUUUAAAGUGGUACGCGAGCUGGGUUUAGAACGUCGUGAGACAGUUCGGUCCCUAUCUGCCGUGGGCGCUGGAGAACUGAGGGGGGCUGCUCCUAGUACGAGAGGACCGGAGUGGACGCAUCACUGGUGUUCGGGUUGUCAUGCCAAUGGCACUGCCCGGUAGCUAAAUGCGGAAGAGAUAAGUGCUGAAAGCAUCUAAGCACGAAACUUGCCCCGAGAUGAGUUCUCCCUGACUCCUUGAGAGUCCUGAAGGAACGUUGAAGACGACGACGUUGAUAGGCCGGGUGUGUAAGCGCAGCGAUGCGUUGAGCUAACCGGUACUAAUGAACCGUGAGGCUUAACCUUACAACGCCGAAGCUGUU